rnacentral:rRNA from 1 species
AUUGAACGCUGGCGGCAGGCCUAACACAUGCAAGUCGAGCGGCAGCACAGAGAAACUUGUUUCUCGGGUGGCGAGCGGCGGACGGGUGAGUAAUGCCUGGGAAAUUGCCCUGAUGUGGGGGAUAACCAUUGGAAACGAUGGCUAAUACCGCAUGAUGCCUACGGGCCAAAGAGGGGGACCUUCGGGCCUCUCGCGUCAGGAUAUGCCCAGGUGGGAUUAGCUAGUUGGUGAGGUAAGGGCUCACCAAGGCGACGAUCCCUAGCUGGUCUGAGAGGAUGAUCAGCCACACUGGAACUGAGACACGGUCCAGACUCCUACGGGAGGCAGCAGUGGGGAAUAUUGCACAAUGGGCGCAAGCCUGAUGCAGCCAUGCCGCGUGUGUGAAGAAGGCCUUCGGGUUGUAAAGCACUUUCAGUUGUGAGGAAGGUGGUGUCGUUAAUAGCGGCAUCAUUUGACGUUAGCAACAGAAGAAGCACCGGCUAACUCCGUGCCAGCAGCCGCGGUAAUACGGAGGGUGCGAGCGUUAAUCGGAAUUACUGGGCGUAAAGCGCAUGCAGGUGGUUUGUUAAGUCAGAUGUGAAAGCCCGGGGCUCAACCUCGGAACUGCAUUUGAAACUGGCAGACUAGAGUACUGUAGAGGGGGGUAGAAUUUCAGGUGUAGCGGUGAAAUGCGUAGAGAUCUGAAGGAAUACCGGUGGCGAGGGCGGCCCCCUGGACAGAUACUGACACUCAGAUGCGAAAGCGUGGGGAGCAAACG